GGCAUAUGAUACGAUAUAGACUGGGGUAUAUCGUAUCGAAAGCACCAACUGUUGUAUCGUUGAUCGUUUGAAUCAUGUUAAUCUAUAAAGGGAAAAAGAUUUAGAUUUUCCUGUUCCAGUAUCUCCAACUGGACAUCCUUUCUCUGCAGAGCUCUCUUCAUUUCAAUCUCAUACAUAAACUAAAAGGAACAAAGUUGUUCCUUUACUAUAAAGCCAGCCAUCACACAAGACAAUCACAAAGCCAAAAUAAAUGGGAUGACGAUAGUACAUCAUGUCAUGUUGUACCAGCCCACUGGAUUACCUUUUAUUACGGUGUUAUCGAAUGAUACAAGUUGUUUCACCAAGUUCACGAACCAGUACAUUCUAUGUAGGACUCGUACCAAUCGAUUUCCCCAUCAUUUAUCGAUUUGGUAGUUGUUUCCAUCCUCUCCACAGAUUGUUCUGCACGUGAAGCAAAUCGAGGAUUUCUGAUGGAUUUUGGACAUUCAUUGGACCACGAAACUUCCAGUAGUCCUAGGGAAAGUCUAUUGAAUGAAUUUCUGUAAAAAAAAAAAACAACCAAAGAAGGUUACGAGGCUUAAUUAACAAUUGAGGUUGGAAAAUUUUUCAUACAUUAGAAUUAAUGACUUGGAAUCCCAGGAGCUGGAACCAGAAAACAAGGUAUUCAUAUUUAUAAAGUUAAAACACUCCUGUAAUUUCAUUGCAAAUCCUAGAGCAAAAGUCUGUUCAGUUGAUUUUUAUAAUUGUU